GACGAACGCUGGCGGCGUGCUUAACACAUGCAAGUCGAACGGAAAGGCCCUGCUUGCAGGGUACUCGAGUGGCGAACGGGUGAGUAACACGUGGGUGAUCUGCCCUGCACUUCGGGAUAAGCCUGGGAAACUGGGUCUAAUACCGGAUAGGAGCCAUUUUUAGUGUGAUGGUUGGAAAGUUUUUUCGGUGUAGGAUGAGCUCGCGGCCUAUCAGCUUGUUGGUGGGGUAAUGGCCUACCAAGGCGGCGACGGGUAGCCGGCCUGAGAGGGUGGACGGCCACAUUGGGACUGAGAUACGGCCCAGACUCCUACGGGAGGCAGCAGUGGGGAAUGUUGCACAAUGGGCGCAAGCCUGAUGCAGCGACGCCGCGUGGGGGAUGACGGCCUUCGGGUUGUAAACUCCGUUCGCUAGGGACGAAGCUUUUUGUGACGGUACCUAGAUAAGAAGCACCGGCUAACUACGUG
rnacentral:rRNA from 1 species